rnacentral:rRNA from 1 species
CAGCAGCCGCGGUAAUACAGAGGGUGCGAGCGUUAAUCGGAUUUACUGGGCGUAAAGCGUGCGUAGGCGGCUAAUUGAGUCGGAUGUGAAAUCCCCGAGCUUAACUUGGGAAUUGCAUUCGAUACUGGUUAGCUAGAGUGUGGGAGAGGAUGGUAGAAUUCCAGGUGUAGCGGUGAAAUGCGUAGAGAUCUGGAGGAAUACCGAUGGCGAAGGCAGCCAUCUGGCCUAAUACUGACGCUGAGGUACGAAAGCAUGGGGAGCAAACAGGAUUAGAUACCCCUGUAGUCCCUGUCUCUUAUAC